CCUACGGGUGGCAGCAGUAGGGAAUCUUCCACAAUGGGCGAAAGCCUGAUGGAGCAACGCCGCGUGGGUGAAGAAGGUCUUCGGAUCGUAAAACCCUGUUGUUAGAGAAGAAAGUGCGUGAGAGUAACUGUUCACGUUUCGACGGUAUCUAACCAGAAAGCCACGGCUAACUACGUGCCGGCAGCCGCGGUAAUACGUAGGUGGCAAGCGUUAUCCGGAUUUAUUGGGCGUAAAGGGAACGCAGGCGGUCUUAUAAGUCUGAGGGGAAAGCCUUCGGCUUAACCGGAGUAGUGCAUUGGAAACUGGGAGACUUGAGUGCAGAAGAGGAGAGUGGAACUCCAUGUGUAGCGGUGAAAUGCGUAGAUAUAUGGAAGAACACCAGUGGCGAAAGCGGCUCUCUGGUCUGUAACUGACGCUGAGGUUCGAAAGCGUGGGUAGCAAACAGGAUUAGAUACCCGGGUAGUC
rnacentral:rRNA from 1 species